GAUUAAAAAAUUUAUUCAUUUGUAUGGUUAAAAAUUAACGUAAUAAUCGUCAAUUAUACAUAGCGUGCCAUAUUUACCUCACACUGAUGUAUAUAGACCAGUUUUUAACAGUAGAAAUAAAUGAAAUUUAUUUAUG
rfam:Gossypium raimondii Chr09_contig_21, whole genome shotgun sequence.